rnacentral:rRNA from 1 species
UAGGGGUUCUGAGAGGAAGGUCCCCCACAUUGGAACUGAGACACGGUCCAAACUCCUACGGGAGGCAGCAGUGAGGAAUAUUGGUCAAUGGACGAGAGUCUGAACCAGCCAAGUAGCGUGAAGGAUGACUGCCCUAUGGGUUGUAAACUUCUUUUAUAUGGGAAUAAAACAGGGUAUGCAUACCCUCUUGUAUGUACCAUAUGAAUAAGGAUCGGCUAACUCCGUGCCAGCAGCCGCGGUAAUACGGAGGAUCCGAGCGUUAUCCGGAUUUAUUGGGUUUAAAGGGAGCGUAGGUGGAUCGUUAAGUCAGUUGUGAAAGUUUGCGGCUCAACCGUAAAAUUGCAGUUGAAACUGGCAGUCUUGAGUACAGUAGAGGUGGGCGGAAUUCGUGGUGUAGCGGUGAAAUGCUUAGAUAUCACGAAGAACUCCGAUUGCGAAGGCAGCUCACUGGACUGCAACUGACACUGAUGCUCGAAAGUGUGGGUAUCAAACAGGAUUAGAUACCCUGGUAGUCCACACAGUAAACGAUGAAUACUCGCUGUUUGCGAUAUACAGUAA